CAAUAGCGUAUAUUAAAGUUGUUGCGGUAAAAAAGCUCGUAGUUGGAUUUCUGUUGAGAGCGACCGGUCCAUACCAUGUAUGCGUAUCUGGCUUGCUCUCGGCAUCCUCUCGAUAGACGUUACUGCGCUUGAUUGCGUGGUGCGGAUCUCGGGACUUUUACUUUGAGGAAAUUAGAGUGUUCACGGCAGGCUUUCGCCAGAAUACAUUAGCAUGGAAUAAUACUAUAGGAUCUUGGUUCUAUUUUGUUGGUUUCUAGAAUUGAGAUAAUGAUUAAUAGGGACAAUUGGGGGCAUUCGUAUCAACACGUCAGAGGUGGAAUUCUUGGAUUGUGUUGCGACGAACUACUGCGAAAGCAUCUGCCAAGGAUGUUUUCAUUGA
rnacentral:rRNA from 1 species